rnacentral:rRNA from 1 species
UACGGAGGGUGCAAGCGUUGUCCGGAUUUAUUGGGUUUAAAGGGUGCGUAGGCGGCUUUUUAAGUCAGUGGUGAAAUCCUGCAGCUCAACUGUAGAAUUGCCAUUGAUACUGAGAAGCUUGAAUUCAGACGAGGUAGGCGGAAUUGACGGUGUAGCGGUGAAAUGCAUAGAUAUCGUCAAGAACACCGAUUGCGAAGGCAGCUUACUAGACUGACAUUGACGCUGAGGCACGAAAGCGUGGGGAUCAAACAGG